GGCGCGGGCCGGGCUCGGGGCCGAUUAGCGCAACGGCAGAGGCGAGCAGAGCCGCACGGGGCCCCAGGAGGAGGGCGCUGACGCUGGCGCUGCCGCCGCCGGGGCUUCCAGCAAUCCGAGGCCCGAGCCGGGGCGCGCCGCGCGGGGCUCCAGUUUCGCCAGCCCCGGUGCUAUUUAAAGGUGUCAGGUGGCUCCGCGGCGGUUCCUGGCCCACGGUCCUGGCGGCAGCAGUUGGAAGAGCCGAGGCGAGGGCGCCGAUCCCGUACUGCGAGGGGAGGCGGAGAGAUGGGGCAAUUGACUAUUGCUAACAAGUUAGCCUUGAUCGAGGAGUCAUCAAUUAUCUGCAGCGGCACUUCUGUCUCUCUUUCUCCGUCUUUUUCCUCUCUUCUCUCUGUUCUCUCCUCCCGUUCUCUCCCUCCCUCUCUCCCUCCCUCUUCUCUCUUCUCUGCUCCCCCCGUCUCUCUCCUUCGCUCCCUCUCCCUCGUCCUCUCUUUCACUCUCUGUCUGUCCAAUGCAGGCGGCUCUAAGUUGGGAAGCUCAUUAAUUAGCGGGCCUGGGGUAGGAGGAGCCGGCUGGAAUUAGCCUGCCUAAUGCGCCUGUCAGUCCGGGCGCUGCGCCGCGCUCGGCCCGAGCUGUUUGUAAAUUACAUUAGCCGCGCCUUUAUUGCACCCGAACCUCCGGCGACUGGAAAGCCGCCGCCCCCACCCCAAACUGCGAGCCGCCCUCCCGGAGCACCCGCCUCCCGCCGGCCUGGCUGUGAUGGCAGCGCUGGCUCGGAGGUCUCGGGCUCUCCAACCCGGGAUUUUGCGCCCGAGAAGGGCGGCAAGAGCACAGCCAGGGAGGUAUGCAGCCGCCGCGCGGGCCAGUCUGUUCAUCUCUCCACACCUGAUACUGGUCUGCAAGACAGGAUCGCAAGGACAACCCUGCUCCUCCCAUCUCCCGGUCCCUCAGGAACAGCAGAAUUCAGGAUUAUUGUGAGGUUGCCAGGAAGACUCCCAUCCUAUUCUGAGCCCAGAAGCCGAGAGGAAGAACAGACAGAAGGAGGAGAGAGAUGGGCCAGUAGGAGUGGCAGGAAAUACACCUCUUCCCCAGUAGCCCAGGGGACUAUGAAGAGGAAUCCUUGUCUUCUGCCGCCGCCGCCCCCCCCUCCUCCCCCCCCCCCUCUACGCAUUUGUUUUUCUUGA
rnacentral:lncRNA from 1 species